ACACAGCCCUCAGUCCUAAAGGCUGGUCUCACUCCCAUCCUGCCACGCAACAGCACAGGGUCUAUUUCGAGACAGCCAGUGACCAGGGCUGAGAACUUGCCCCAGACCACCAGCCUCCUCACUGAGAAAGCAAGCAGAAUCACAGUUUUUUGGAAUCUCAGGGAGCCUUCAGCGGCAAUCCAGUUCCUUCAAAGGGUCUGUGGAUUCUCUCAGUUUUCAUGAUUCCAGGAACAUGAAGAUAAUGGGAGAGGCAGCCAGUCGGGGGCAAAGAUGCCGUUAAACAGUCAGCCCUGGGCAUGGACGUGCCCCCUCCUACUGAAGUCCUAUAUUCACAUCUUUCUGGGCCUGAAACCAGCCAAGGCAAUGUGAAGGAUUCCAAGAGAGGCAAUAUGGAUGAAACCAUUUAUUAGAUUUAUAAGAGCUGAAGGAAAGUGGUAAAGCUAUCCAUCUUCUAUACUUUAUUGAGAACAGGACCAAUGACUCAGACUAUCAGGACAGUAUCUCCAAGACAGAAUUGAAAUCCUAAAGUAAGCAGAGAAUAAGUGCAUACAUUUUAGGAGAAGAGGGAUCAAAGGCAGAAGGAAGAAAUGCACGGGUGUCAGCUGUGACCCUCGAAGGAAAGGGAUCACCCUCUUUCUGACCCUAUACCACCUUCAGCAGGGAUGAAGGCAGUCAGAGAAAACUUAGUUAAAAAAUUUCUAAACUGCUUUGCUGAUUUGAUCUGGGGCCCUGGAGUGCCAACAUCCUGUGAUAGCGGCUGAUUGUUGAUGCCUGGGAGGAUACAGCAGUGACGAUCCAAAUUUACAAGACUCAACAUGGUUUUCAAAACUUCCUUUUAAAAAAGAUGUUCCUGAGUUCUGGAAUCUGAACAAAAUAUGUCUGGUUAUUAUAUAAUUCUAAUGGUCCUUGUGGAUGCUACCAUUAGAGUUCAGUUAGUGUCUCAUCUAUCACUGUAAUAUUUGUAUUGUAACACUAAUCGUGGCAAAGUAUGAUUUGAUAAAUGCUCAUUCUCAAAUCUUU
ensembl:lncRNA novel transcript